UACGUAGGGUCCGAGCGUUGUCCGGAAUUAUUGGGCGUAAAGGGCUCGUAGGCGGUUCGUCACGUCGGGAGUGAAAACUCGGAGCUUAACUCCGAGCCUGCUUCCGAUACGGGCAGACUAGAGGUAGGCAGGGGAGAGCGGAACUCCUGGUGUAGCGGUGGAAUGCGCAGAUAUCAGGAGGAACACCGGUGGCGAAGGCGGGUCUCUGGGCCGACACUGACGCUGAGGAGCGAAAGCGUGGGGAGCGAACAGG
rnacentral:rRNA from 1 species